UACGUAGGUGACCAGCGUUGUCCGGAUUUACUGGGCGUAAAGAGCGCGCAGGCGGUCGUUCAAGUCGAGUGUGAAAGCCCCCGGCUCAACUGGGGAGGGUCACUCGAUACUGAUCGACUUGAAGGCAGGAGAGGUAAGCGGAAUUCCUGGUGUAGCGGUGAAAUGCGUAGAUAUCAGGAGGAACACCUGCGGUGUAGACGGCUUGCUGGACCAUCACUGACGCUGAGGCACGAAAGCGUGGGUAGCAAACAGG
rnacentral:rRNA from 1 species